GCAGAACAGGGCAUUAGUUUUCCAUAUUAUAAUUGUAUCGGUGAUAGUUUACACUGGGAUAUCUGUAUACAUUACCUCCAGCCCUGAAGACAGUACAGCAAAAUAAAAUAAAUAUUAUUUAGAAUUGCAGAGUGUUUAUCUUGCAAAUUCCCUAUCCAGAUAUUAUUGUGUCUAAAUUAUUUAUUGCUUAGAUUUUGUUUUCAUAUUUUUCUCAUUAAUUACAAUGACCGAUUAGAAAGGGUAAAGUAUAAAACGUUAUUAUUAACGCAUAUUAAAAUAAAAUGAUCUUGGAAGAGUGUGAAUAAAGACGAUCUGUUCACAUUUCUCUCUUUUUUAUAUUUUAACUGCAUGUUAAUAAUGAGACUGUA